GUCUACAUCCAUGCCACCCUGAACGUGCCCAAUCUCAUCUGAUCUCAGAAGCUAAGCAGGGUCGGGCCUGGUUAGUACUUGGUCAGGCACGUUUUUGUUC
rnacentral:rRNA from 1 species